rnacentral:rRNA from 1 species
UACGUAGGGGGCAAGCGUUGUCCGGAUUUAUUGGGCGUAAAGAGCGUGUAGGCGGUCAGGUAGGUCCGUUGUGAAAACUCGAGGCUCAACCUCGAGACGCCGAUGGAAACCAUCUGACUAGAGUCCGGAAGAGGAGAGUGGAAUUCCUGGUGUAGCGGUGAAAUGCGCAGAUAUCAGGAAGAACACCCGUGGCUAAGGCGGCUCUCUAGUACGGUACUGACGCUGAGGUGCGAAAGCGUGGGGAGCGAACAGG